CCGUGACUUAACAGUUUAAUGUAAAUCCAAGACAAAGUGUGAUUACAUUUCUACACAUAUACAAUAUGCAUAUGUGAGCAUACAAAUUCUCAUGAAUAACUCGAUUCACCUCGGAGACCGAAGAAAUGAUCAAAAGUAACAGUGAAUAACAAGCUAGAACAUAGUUCACCACAAUGCCAGCCCCUUCACCCUACAGUUAGUAAAGAGGGCAAUUCAAAUCAGUAUUUUCUUCUAUGACCAAGUUGUCAAUUAAAAUCCUCCUGUAAAUGUACAAUGCUAUAAUUUGUUUUUUGAAGCCUAUUUUAAAUUCACUCAAUUUUUCUACAACGAAAAUGAUUAAGAGAAGCACACAACAUCUUAAUGGUAACACAAGCGCUUAGUAGCCAAGUACUCAACUUGUUAGGAGUUCAAUUAAUCAUUCUUCUUAUUCUCAUUAUUAUAUUUCUUUAAACAUUCUAUAAAGCCAGUAAAAUAUCCAUUCUCACAACAUACUCAAUAAUAUUAUUCUAAGGAAUAUGGUACAUAUAAAGCUAUAUCAACAGAUAUUAAGGAGACAACAAACGCACUUUAAAAAAAUCCCCAAUAAAUGUAAAUGAGAGAGAAAAUUAACAAAGAAGUAUACUAGGAAAUACUGCAGCACAUAAUAGCCUGAACAACAAUGAGAUUUCAACACCAUUGAAAAAACAUACAGCAAUGGACACACAACAAGGACAGGUACAAUGCUCAUUUGUGGUUUGAGCUGGCAAGAAAUAGCUAAACAAUACAUUUUCUAAACCAAAUUGUUUCAAAAUGUGUGCAUAAUAGGAAAAUGAGACUUCUAGCAUGUCUUUAGCAAGAGGGUAGAAAAUAUGACAUGUUGGUUCUUAAGUACAUGUUUGAAAAAACUGUCCAAAUGACAACAUUUGACGUAUUCCAUUAAUGGGGGCAUCAAACCCUUGACCGCUGCGGCCUGAAUCCCCAAAGAAAAAACCUAAAGCAGGGGGUGAUUCCCUUGACAAACAUACAAACACAGACACAUCAAUAGUCAUACAGAAGGGCUUUAAAAUGUGUUAUUACUGGGUUACAGAGUUUCAGUGAUGCAUAUAAAAUAAAUAAUCGUAAAACAAGUACUUUUCCUACCUCCCUGCUUCUUUGGGAGAGUGUACUUUGCAAAGCUCUCAUGAAGGGGAGGAGAGGUUGUGUGAUUAUUCUAUUCUGGUAAGGUGGUAAAAUGAUUCAAGUCACUUCAGAGGGGUUUGACCUGAGAAGACUAACUGGCAAUGUGUGCCAUUCCUUCAGGAAUGUUUCACAAUAUUUCAUACAAGGAUCCAGAAAGAGCACUCGCAAUCACACUCUGGGAAAAGUUGGAAGCUGAACACUUCUUGUGUAGCGCAAGUAUUUCAAGAACAACAAAGUUGUAAAAAUACCAGGCUUCACCAAAAGACCGCUUUACACAGCUCUCUUUAAUUCAAACCACACCUUAAAGGGUAUGGUUUAGUUAUUUGGAAGGCAUUAUUCUAACAUUGAAAUGGCUACUGUAGCACGGGAGAGAUGAUGUUCAAAGUAAACAAACUUCAUUAGCACAAGAAUACCACAUUUUGGUAAUUGUAAGGAUCUACGUUGAUGCUCACAUUCUGAAUCAUAUUUCCCAUAAAACACAUAACACGUUAAACAACGUGGUACGACGCUCAAAUAUUUUACACAUUAAAAUGUUAUUUCAUUCCAAAUAUAGCAAGUCCAUUGAAACAAAAUUGAGUGUAGGGUCAAAAGGGCUUCUCGAAUAUUGCUAAAUAUAGAUUAUACUUGAAAAUGUUUUAAUAAAAUCAAAUAAA
ensembl:lncRNA